UGUAGCUUUGGAGCCUGUCCCGGAACUAACUCUUGUAGACCAGAAUGGCCUGGAACUCAGAGAUCUGCCUGUCUCCGCCUCCCAACUGCUGGGAUUAAAGGUGUUCGCCACCACCACUUGACGAGACCCUGUUUGUCAGAAAGAUAAAUAUUUCUGUUCUUGCAAAACUAUAAUAUAAUCAAGGAGGCAAACUAUAUAAAGAUACACAUACACACAGAGAGGUGGAGUCCUGGUCCGGCAUGUAAGGAAGCUACGUGGCUCAGUGGGGAAGACGACCUUCCAAGCUUUAAAGAAUGACAGCUUUCCCAGAACAACAACAAAAAACCCUUUUCAGAGACCAGUGCCAGGUCAGAAAACCCUGGGCUGGAAUUGACAAAUUGCGGGAGGCUUGUGGACAAGCUCGAGAGUUCGACGUUCGUGCAACCCUGCCCCGAGCAGCAGCAGGCGUUUGUUUUACCUCCAGGAGCUCCACCAGCUCCCAGCCGACAUCAGAAACGCCCUAGCCUGGCUUCUGGAAGGGGAGGGGG